CUGGCGGCUCCGAAAAAGGUGUGUGUGCUCUGCAGAUGUUCUCCCAGAGCAGGAGAUGUCCUAAUAAGCAGGCAAAGGGAUUCACUUCUGAUGCAGCACUGACACAGAGGAUCUGGGAAGAGCUGCCACAUCAGUGUGAGGAGUAUUGAUGGAUUGGAGGGAAAAAGAGUGCAAUUAACAAUAAAAUGCUGUCCCUGCAAUGGAAGGUAAAUGCU
rnacentral:lncRNA from 1 species